rnacentral:misc_RNA from 1 species
AACAUACCUAAAACGUUGCUUCGGCGGGAACAGACGGCCCCGUAACACGGGCCGCCCCCGCCAGAGGACCCCCUAACUCUGUUUCUAUUAUGUUUCUUCUGAGUAAAACAAGCAAAUAAAUUAAAACUUUCAACAACGGAUCUCUUGGCUCUGGCAUCGAUGAAGAACGCAGCGAAAUGCGAUAAGUAAUGUGAAUUGCAGAAUUCAGUGAAUCAUCGAAUCUUUGAACGCACAUUGCGCCCGCCAGUAUUCUGGCGGGCAUGCCUGUUCGAGCGUCAUUACAACCCUCAGGCCCCCGGGCCUGGCGUUGGGGAUCGGCGAGGCGCCCCCUGCGGGCACACGCCGUCCCCCAAAUACAGUGGCGGUCCCGCCGCAGCUUCCAUUGCGUAGUAGCUAACACCUCGCAACUGGAGAGCGGCGCGGCCACGCCGUAAAACCCCCAACUUCUGAA